CAGGGAAGUUUGACGUCACAGAAUGGGUACAGGAGGCUAGGAGUUCGAUUUUAACUAUAAAGGGGCAGCAGGAGGUGGUACGUGUAAGAAAGAACAGGAAGUGAAGCAUUUGACCAUUGCAAGAGGGCCUGCAAGAGAAGAUACACACACUUUGGGAAUAGACGGAGCAGACAUACAGCAUCUGGGGACCAGCAGUGGUAUCAGGAAGACAGAGAGAGAAAGACAGCCGUGCACUCGUAGGAUAUGAAAAGGAAGAUGGCUUGAUGAGAGAUGCUGAAAAAUGAGUUUGAGAGAAUGGCAAAAUUAAGAUGAUACUGGAAGGCAGAGGGAGAGAUUCUGAUUUCAGGAACUUUUGCCGACCUUGCCAGCUCACUGCAAUUGUACAGUUGAUGAUUACAGGCGCCGUCCAAGCCCAAACCAUCAGCUCACAAUGUGAACAAAACAUUUUAAACACUUAGUUGCAGCGAGGAGAAAGUUAAUAGCCCGGGCUUAGAAGUCAGCCCGCUCAAGUCCAAAUUACAGGAAAAGACAGAACAAUCUCAACAGCUGCAAGAUCAAAUUCUCAAGCAGCAGGAGGCUUUAAGUAGGGCAAGCCAAACUCUCAAAGACACCAGGAAAGCAGCUGGCAAUAAGUGGCAUCAGCAGGUGGAGAGACAGACAUGGUGGAACCACAGGCGGAGGGUGAACCAGCUGCAGGGUAAAGCUAUGAAGUCUACAAGUUGGGCAGCCAUGGGGUGAUUCUGCAGGAGGGGAUGAGAAUGAAGGAGAAGAAUUCCCAGGGAGAACAAGAGGAGAUGAGGGGGAAAACAUUACAGCAAACCUCUUACAAAGGAGUUCUCGAACAAUGACAAUAAUUUACUUUAAACACUGAUUUUUAAGUGCUUUUUUUUGACUAAUCAUUGAAUUCUUUUAGGUGUUUAAAUGGAAUUCACUGGAAAAGGUGAGUCAUGUUUUGUCUGUGUUUAAAAGAGGAAGUGUGUGUGUUUAGCCAAAGCGGAUGUUGUUAGGAUGUAUUAAAGAUAAAUAGGGAGGCAUAGAUGAGAGAUUAUCUGUCUUAGUAGAUGCAAAGGUUUUUUUUUAUUUUUAAACAAAGGUGCUCAGAUUUGUGUAUAUAUUUUCCUUUAGAGGUGGUAUGUGUCUGUGUUUUGUGUGUGUGUUUAGACUAGAAGGUGUGUGUCCUCCCUGACCCCUCCCGCAUCUUUACCGCCACCCAUCUGUUUACUGACUCAUGAAAAAUUCAUGAGUGUGUGUUUGGGAGCAGCGGAAUAAUUUUCAAUAUUUAGCCAGGCUAUGAAUACAGAUGAUGUUGAACUUUGGUGUAUUGCGGUGGCGUUUGUGAAGGUGUUUGGGUGCGUAUGAGUGUAGCCGGUAUCAUGGCAGGCUGAGGUCAGCAGGCUUAAUGAGGGGGUGAGGAAGCAGCGGGUCCACACGCAUGUGCUGAGUGAGACGUGUCGCCCAUAGGAGACAUGUGACUGGACCGGGCGGGCGGGAAAGACGGCAGCUCCAAAGCCAACUGCAACUAAUGCAGCAGCAGGUUCAGUCCAGGAUCAAAUCUUUGGAUGCGUCAAGGAGCUCCAUGUGAAAGGAAUUUUGAAUGAUGAAUGAAGAUACUUUGGGACAGUAUUUUUCUGUGCUGUCCUAAAGGCCAAGGCAGAAGUCUGAAUUUUAAGAGCAGAAAUCUCCAGCCCGAAGACUCUAUGUCCAGAAAGUCAGCCUUAUGGAACACCCUGAAGAGGCAAUGGACCAGCUAACCGAAGAGCUCUGGAUGAAUCUGAAGGGCCGAACAGGGAAAAUACACCAGUGCAAGGAAGAAAUUGAGAGAUUAAGACACAAAGUGGACAGCCACCAAAAAUGAGGAAAGAGGAGCUGAAGUUGAGCAGGUGUACAUAAAGUUGACCCUCAGAAGUGAAGUGGUGUCUGUGGAUGGCUUGCAUGAGAAUUAUCAAAAGGCAGAAAGACUCAUCAAACGUGGUUUAAGAAAGAUAGGCCUUGAGGAGCCCACCUGAGCCAGACAGAUGCUGGACAUCAGCCCUCUUCACACGGACACUGUUGCAGGGGCUGUUAAUGUGCUAUGAAGCCGACAGAACAAGAAAAAUGCAGAUGCUCCAGGUAAAACCAUCCAACUCCCCGCUUCUAGAAAAAUCUAGCAGAAAGAGAUGAAGCCAAAGAGCAGGUAAGAACGACACACGCACAGCUUCUGUCCUCUUACACUCUCCAAGUGUGACACCCCAAACAUCCAUAAAGGCCAGCGGAGUCUGUUCCUACACUUCUCACUCACAGCCUUAAAGGUCAGCUAUGUCCAAGUCCCAGCAUUUAUGAAUCACACACACACACCUACCAACAUACACACACAAGCAUGUUCUCCAUGGGGCCGUGACCGUGGCUUGUUUGUUUAUUUAUUCAUGCACUUGAAGGCCCUGUCAGCAGGCCGGUUCUCCUCGGCAGGAGGUGAACUAGAGGAUUUGCAAUGUUCUCGGCUCUGAUUAGCAGGGAAUGUCAUGUGACAGCACAAGGAUUAUCUUGUUCUGGUAUGAGAGGACUAAAUGUGGAAAGGUACUUUAGAGCCUUAAUUCCAACAUGUAAUAUUUCAUAAUGUCGUACAUGUGGGUCUCAGAUUGGAUAACUGUUGUCAGGUAGGCGCUUCACAAAGCCUGAGACUUCAUUAAUCCAGGUCUCUGCAAGUUCCUUUGAAAUCAUUUAAAUUCCCUUCAACUCCUUCUGUCUUUUUCGUGGUUAGAAACUUCCAGUAAUAAAUAAUUAAUGCUCCUCUCUUUCUUUUUCUCCCUCUCUUUCUUUUCUUUGAGGUGUGAGGUAAGCUAAAUACACCAGUGAGUUCACAAAGGUAAAGCUUGUGGUAGCUUAACCAUGACUGGGAGAGAUCGGGAUCAUUUUUAUGUGUCGUUUGAUCUGUGAUGGACCCUGCAUACGCUCGCUAAUUACGGCGGGCUGAGACAGUGUCAUAUCGACCACCCAGCGCUCUCAUCACCUCUGUAAGAGAGACAGAGAGUGAGCGAGAACCAAGAGAGAGAGAUAGAGUUCUAAUCAGCUACCUCACACCUUCACUUCACACAUCUCACACAGCAACACUCUCUCGUUUGGGGAAAAAACAGAUAUUUAUUUACCUCAUUGCCUUUGUUUGAAACCAUUCUGUGCCUCCAUCGAGCACACUAAAGCCUGUUUCACACCACAUGUAUAAGCAACAUAAGCAAUGCACUUUUAUUUUGGCAAUCAUAUUAACAGGUAACAAUUCACAAUGCUAUGUAGUAUCAUCUCUCACAAUACAGUAGGAGUAAAUUAAAUAAUAGGGCAAACUACUUGCCCAUAUAAAAGAGUUAGUUCACCCAUAAAAUGACCUCAUUACAUUCCAAAAAUGUUCUUCAGUGAAAAGAUAUUUUGAAAAGAACAGAUCCCAUUGACUUAAAAAAAGGUUAAAUGCUAUAGCUAGUAGUUCUAGAAAUUAUAUGAAAUCAUAUAAAAAAAAUUGUAGCAAACUAUUUGCCCAUAUAAAAGGGUUAGUUCAAGGGUUAUGUCAUUCCAAAACUUGUAUUGCUUUCUUCAGAUCAGAACAUCUACAGAUGUUGAUUUGGACCCCAAUGACUGUCAUUAUAUGAACAAAAGCAGCUUUUUUUCCCCCUUCAUUUUUUGGCCGAACUAUCACUAUCAACAAGAUUCAUAGCAUGCAUGUAGCAUUAGCCUUCCUACAAUUGCAGCAUUGACCCUAUUUUUGUGUAAAAUACAGAGAAAAUUCACUGGUUGUCUUUUUAUCAACAUGAUCUUUAACCAUAUUUGAAAUAAUGUUAAAAAUGGAGCCAAUUACUUAACCAUAUUAACAGGAUUUAUAGCAGGGAUGUAGCACUAGCCUGAAUUCAACAGCUAAGUUUCAGUGCUAGUUUCAGCGCUAAACUUCUUUUUGAGAAGAAUAUAGAGAAAGUGCUCUGUAAAUCUAUCAACAUGAUCUUUCACAACAUAGGCUAUAAUGAAGUAACUAAAUGAAUGAACACAUUUUAUUUGAAACAUGCUAAUUCCACUUGCUGCAACAGGCACACAAACAAUUUCUAUUCAGUAAAUCUGAUCUGAUUUAACUAGUUUAUACAACCCGAUCUCAUGAAUGUAAUGAUGUGACGAUAUCAUAUGAAUAUGUACAAUGUGAUUUGUAUGGAAACUUUUUUUUAUUUUUUAUUAAAGUAAGUGUAAAGUAAUAACCUAACUAUCAGUGGAGCAUAAGCAGAUCGCAUAGAAACAUACAUAUGAGAUUGUACAAAUUUAUAUGAAAUGAGUGUGUUUAUAGGUUCAUAUUGUGCUUUUCAGUUCAGUUCCAUGUAGAUUAAUUACCACUUUGGUGGAAAUGUGAUACAAAUUUGAUUUCACAAUUAUCAAGUAAUAAUUCUCAAUGGCGUACUGCCACUUUCUAAUUCAUGUCUGAUUUUAAGCAAAUACUCAUGAUGUUGUGGUAACGUGGCAUUGAUGCUUACACGCUCCUUGUGUGUGUGGUGUGAAACGGGCCCAAUUGCUGUCAAAAGUAAGGUUUUAAAUAUUCAUCAUUAAUGCUAAAGCAGCUCUGGAUUAAGUGCUUGUAGAUUUAGCAGCACUAGUGAUGCCCAGCGCAGACAGGCUCGUUGAAUUUAUUCAAUCCAUUUGCUUCCUCUUUUAUUUCAAGCAAUCCAUAGCUGUGUUUAUUUUAGGUAAAAUUGCCACCUACAUUGCAAAUGAAUCACGUCAAGCAACCCUUAAAAAAGAUGAAGCAUCUCCGGUUAUCCGAUCAAAGCUUUUAAAUAGUAAAAACAGCAGCUGGCUUUGUCGGCAGCCCAGAUAAAUCUAUAUUACAAAUUGCUUUUGUGAGAACUGGAUGAGCAGCCGAUUUUUUUGUAUUGAACUUUUGUCCUAUUCAGUGACCACAGUGGGAAAAGGAUACUGAUCCGCUAGCAGGAUCAAUACAGACCCGGAACGCUCUCCAGCUCUCAUUCUUCAACACACACACACGUUUGGUGGGAAUACUUUAAACACACAGAAGGGCAAAAUGGGCAGGUGGUUCACCAGACAGUGUCGAGUGCCCUCUCUCACUCUCAUUGUGCGAGUACGUGUGCAUUUUUUUUUUCUUUUUUUUUUGUCCCGUUCAUCCGUCAUGCAAGCGGCCGCUGGGAUAAUGCACAUCAUUUUAAACACAAUCAUCUCCAUUCGUGUUGCGGUUCACGUGAGUCGCCUCAUUACAUGUAAUAGCUUGAUGAGAUGUGUGUAUGGAUUCAUAACAUUAAAAUGUCAAAGGAAUUUUAAAGAGUCCAUUUCUCGCCCUCUUUCGCUCCUGUGUGAAAUGAAGCAGUUUGUGUAGCCGUCUCUCUCUCUGUCUCUCUCUCUGUCUGUUGCUCUGAUGGCAUCAUUACUCCUAAGUGCCCACCCUGGCGCAUCAGCUGUCAAAUUAGCACGCUGCGUUUUAAUGAUUCACCUCAUCUACCAAAUAAAGCGUACCCAUUGGCUCAUUAUUGAUCUUCAUUUACCCUGAUUGGUCCCACUCGCUGGAAUGGUACCGAUUAAAAAUCCUUUGGAAACGCACAGUCGGCUGAGAGAUGAUGGGUGAAAGCGGGCGCAGGGGGGGAUAGAGAGGCACCGGCUAAAUGCAAACAUGAUUGGCAUGUUCCCGGUUGGUGCGGCGGUGUCACAGGUCGCAGUGCCGUGUUUCCGCGUCCUUCAGGCCUCUAUUACUGAGCCGAAUGCAGCGGGCUUAUGGCCAUCAUAAAACUACAGUCCCUCACCGUAAUGGCCAUUGACAUUAUCAGCACAGUCAUUAUACACACUCACAGCAAAGUCACUGCCAGACAACAGCAACUGGCAAUUUGGAUAAUUUGACUAAUUUAAAAGCUUUUAAAUGAGGCUGACUGUGCUAUUGAAGGUUUAAUUAACUAAUCGCAUUAUUUAGAUGUGGUUUCCACCUUUUUAUGUUUUAAUUGAUAUAGUUUUUGAAGUGCACCUAUGCGUUAUUUGGUUAAAAAAAAAAAAAGCAUGCACUACCUGCUUCGUAAUAAUGCUGAUUUAAUGCCGCAUGCGCUAAAUGCAACCUCAGCAGAUUGAUGUGUUUUAAUGUAAGCGUGCAUUUUCCGCAAUAUUGCUCAUCUAAUGGUGGAAAGGACGAGACACUUUUCUGCUUUCCUCAGACACUUUAAUUAGCGGCUCCCAUUAAAGGUAAUACACAUUUACCAUGAACGAGCCCGCCAUCCGCAUCAAGUGAAUGCGUUUCGCUCCACCAUCCGAUGCUUUCUAAAUGAGAUUCUGGAGGAAGGAAAAGAAUAAGGACGAGAGAAAUAGGUGAAGAUUUGUAAUCUCAAGCAUGAAAAUAAUAUUCUCAUUCUCUCUUUUUCCCCAAUGUGUUUUCCAAAUUCAUUUAUAUUAAUGUCACAAAUCUCUCAAGACGAGGGCAGAUGUUCUCCCACCCACGUUGCACCUGUGGGACCGGUGUUUUAAUUUAGCCUGACUUCACUGCAAUAAACUUUUAUAUCAUUCUUUUAUUAGGUGUUAAUAUUACACUACCUCUCUGCCUGCUACGGCUUUAUCGAAUGACUUUAAUAAGCACUACAGGCCUUUUUGGACUAGCAAAGUGCAACACUUAGCUUUUGCGAUUUCUACAUGUAUGCUAACUUUAUUGUUGCUCUUGGUGUUUAACUGGCAGAUGCGUUAAAUACGGUUUGUCUAGCCAGGAUUCAACUUGCAAUAACUUACUGGUGAACGUUUGCCGUUCAUCUUAUUAGUUCUUUAUUUUUGUGGUCUGUUACUAGGAAGAAUAUCAAAUCCCUGUUUUUGCUGGUAACUUAAAGUAAUUAUGUUGUUCAAUCAUGAACAAAUGAGUCUAAUUAAAACAGUGUUGUUUCUCUCUUCCAGGGCAUUUUUGGUCACUAGCUUUUCUGACUGAAAACAUGCUGAAUGCACUAGGUCGUGGUAUAAUAUAUAUUACCUGGAUGCCCACAAUUCUUCCGCACCCACUGGAAACACAGGCGGAGCUGUACGUGUCUGCUAAUCUGUGACGAGUUUCUUUAUUCUCUCCUGGGUGCAGAGGCGAGUGUAGCUUACAGCAACAGCUGAGGCAGCUUCAGAAAGCCUGAAAGAGCAGCAUCCAGAGAAUGUUCAACUCACAAACGCACACUGUACACCUGUGUGUGGGCUGCCCUCCAGGCCACAAACACAACCUAACCCUGACAUUUCUGAUGAUUUUGAAGCUUGGCCACUAAAAAGCACUAGACAUGGGGUUGAAACUAAGAACAUUUGUUCUACAUUAGUCUGUACCGUCUGCUUUUGUUUCAGGAGAGUCAGAGAGCAAAAAAGAGAAAAAUAACUCCUAAAGAAAGAAGUUUUAAGCUGACACCAAUAUACGCUCUCACCGGGACUUGUUGUGCACUUGGAGCCCAGUAGAAAAUCAGGAUCAGGAGCUCUGUAAUUGAAUUCACCUGAUUAGAAUUCCACCCCCUCGAGAGUGCGGGAGUCUCGUGUAUGGUUAGCAUAAUAAACAAGAAAAUCUGAGACAUGGGAAUGCGGGAACCACUUCUUCCAAGCAUACUGAAUCAAUUAAUAGCAUGUAGAAGGAAACCCUGAUUAUGUGAGCAGAGAGCCAGGCCAGCGAGAGAGGAGACUGGAUUCUGGGCAGAGCUGCAGCGGUUAAGCUGGGCCCCGGAGGAAUCCCACAUAGACACCGUUCACCUCUGCCAGGAGUGCGCACCGCUGGUCAGCAACCUCAGUCGCUGGAUCAAAGAGCAGAAGUAGAUAACUGGCAAGCUAUUGGGCUCAUGAAUAUUUAUCACGCUGUCUGCACUCACCCAAAGUGAUUUGCUGAAGUCAAAAGAUGGGAAUAAUUUGUAACAGAUGAGGCCUAAACUUUGGAGAGAGAGGUAGAUGUCAUGCUUUCUGGAAUUUACGUUUUCUGGAUCUAGUUUUGCUGUCUGAAACUGGAGUCAACGGCCAACUGAAGCACUCUGGCUUUAGUUUUUCUCUUCUGCAGGCAAGCUGAGAUGCCUUGGAGGAGGCACCGAGGACCCUUAGAGCUCAGCCAGAUGAGAAGGAGGCCAAGCAGUCAUGGUUAAAGGCCAUCCACAGUCACUCUUCUAAUCAGCAACCACUUCUUAAUCAGCUAUGAGGUCGUCUGGAGGUGGACGAGAGUCGGCAUGAUAAUCUGGUUGCCUGUAACUUCAGUCAAAUUGAAGAGGUUCCAUCAAAGCUGAAAUCCAAUAUGGAGGCUGUUAAAGUUCACAGACAGUGUAGGUAACGAGGAGCUGGUGCGUGUCCAUGCAGCUGUGCAGCAAAAUAACCAGAAGAACAGGAAGCUGGAGACGGAGAGAAGUCUACAACACAGCUGGAACGGCAGCUGUUAGCAGGCAGUGCACAACUCUCUAUCUCACCCUUCUCUCUCUUUUCCCAUGAGUCUUCACACCCACCACAGUUACACACGGCUCUGACCUGCCACCACGUACAAGAAGAGAGAGAAACGUUGCACCUCAUCUGAACGCGGCCUCCUGGAACCAGAAACGAGCUGUUGACACACCUGUGAGAAAGCUCUCAGACAUGCAGAGUGUGAUGUAACCUGUCCAUGAAGUGACCCAAGUGAUUCAGAACCUGAUUCAGAAGCGACAGCUCAGGCAGAGAUGGUCACCCCUUUCCCAGCAGCCCCUGCUUCUGCUCUCAUCAACUCCACUGCCCACUGCUGACAAAAUGGGCUUAUUUGACUCCUCACCCCGUGGCACAGAUGAAUAAUUCACCUCGCUGCUGCACUGCUGGGGAGGCGCAGGCAGGUUUGCAUUUGACAGAGCGUGGACAGUGGAUUAUGGGAUUGCGCAGAGGUUCUCCACUCCCAGCCUGUCCAAGAGAAAGGACUUCAAAACUGCAGCUGGGCCCGUUGAAGCCCGGCUUUGGUAGAAACAAUGCUGCUGGUACUAUAGCAAGGAUUUUGUAUGGAAAAAAGCAGAUUUAAGUACUAUAAAAGUCAUACAAUGCUCUUUUUGUAUCAAGACGCAACUCUGAAAACAUAGACAUAAAAAUGACUGAUCCAGUUAGUCUGCAACACACUUAACAUGAACACUGUGUAAUGUUAGCUCGGUGGGCAAAACCUAGCAAGCUGUCUCAGCUUACUUCCAGGGCGGCACCUUAACUCUCAUGGAACCUCAUAAGUUAAUGAUUUCAAACACUCUACAUAGGCAGCAGCUCCAGAUGCCAUAAAAAAAGUUGAUUUCAGUAGAAAUUGAUAUUAGUAUGCUAAGCUAACAGAGCUAUACUUUUAUAAAAAUGCAUCACAAUUUGUGUAUACUUAUGCACUAUUAUGUGCCAGUUUGUAGUAUAAAUGGUGAGAGUGGUAUGUUCUCACUGAAAAGUCCAAAAGGAAAAUGCGCGCUUAAAACGAAUCGUGGAAUUUUGGACACUUAAUGGUUUCUUACGUAGCAGAAGGGGAGGGGCUAUCAGACUCGAGACAGUAGAGUGCAUAGUGUAUAGAAUAGUACAACUAUAGAUCAUAACAGUAGUGGAACGGUUCCGAAAGUAAAAAAAAGAAGAAAAAAGAUCCAAUGCUGCAUUAGAAUUUGAAUAAAAUGGGGAAUGUUAAAAGAAAGCACACUUAAGAUUUUUUUUGUUUGCUUGUUUGUUAAGUGUUAACAAUGAGAUUAUGUGGUUUUUAUAAUCAAUUAACACUGCUUUUGUCACUUUUUACAAGAUGGACAAAAUUUGUCACUAAAAAAUCAUUCAGUUUAAACAAAAUUUCGGUUUUACCAAAUGACACAUUUGGCUAUACCGGAUGACGAUAUUUUCAAACAAUGCUAAAAGGCUAAUAUCUAUCUAGCUAGCUAACAAAAGGACAAUCAAACAUUUUAUAUUUAGUAAGUUUUUAAAACAUAACAACAUUUUCCAUGUUUUAUAGUGGUUGUACCGAAUGACCUGAUGUUUCGGGAC